rnacentral:misc_RNA from 1 species
GGAGGGAUCAUUACAGAGUUCGCGCCCUCGCGGGUAGACCUCCCACCCUGUGUUAUUACCCCGUGUUGCUUUGGCGGGCCGCCAGGCUCGACCCGGCCGCCGGCUCGUGCUCGCGCGCGCCCGCCAGAGGCCCCCCAACCCUUGAUGUGAGUGUCGUCCGAGUCCUACACAAUCGUUAAAACUUUCAACAACGGAUCUCUUGGUUCUGGCAUCGAUGAAGAACGCAGCGAAAUGCGAUAAGUAAUGCGAAUUGCAGAAUUCAGUGAGUCAUCGAAUCUUUGAACGCACAUUGCGCCCCGUGGCAUUCCGCGGGGCAUGCCUGUUCGAGCGUCAUUUCAACCCUCAAGCUCCGCUUGGUGUUGGGCCCUGCCCGUCGCGGCCGGCCCUAAAGUCAGUGGCGGCGCCGUCCGGCUCCAAGCGUAGUGAUGCUCUCGCUCUGGGGUCCGGCGGCCGCUGGCCAGAACCCACACAACCUACGGUUGACCUCGGAUCAGGUAGGGAUACCCGCUGAACUUAAGCAUAUCAAUAAGCGGAGGAAAAGAAACCAACAGGGAUUGCCUCAGUAACGGCGAGUGAAGCGGCAACAGCUCAAAUUUGAAAUCUGGCCCCCUCGGCGCCCGAGUUGUAAUUUGGAGAAGAUGCUUCGGGUGUGGCCCCGGCCUAAGUUCCUUGGAACAGGACGUCACAGAGGGUGAGAAUCCCGUACGUGGCCGGUGGCCGCGCCCGUGUGAAGCUCUUUCGACGAGUCGAGUUGUUUGGGAAUGCAGCUCAAAAUGGGUGGUAAAUUUCAUCUAAAGCUAAACAUUGGCCAGAGACCGAUAGCGCACAAGUAGAGUGAUCGAAAGAUGAAAAGCACUUUGGAAAGAGAGUUAAACAGUACGUGAAAUUGUUGAAAGGGAAGCGCUUGCAACCAGACCUGCGCGCGGCCGAUCACCCGGUGUUCGCACCGGUGCACUCGGCCGCGCGCGGGCCAGCAUCGGUUCGGACGGUUGGAUAAAGGCCCCGGGAAUGUGGCCCCCUCCGGGGGGUGUUAUAGCCCGGGGCGCAAUGCAGCCUGCCCGGACCGAGGACCGCGCUUCGGCUAGGAUGCUGGCGUAAUGGUUGUCAGCGACCCGUCUUGAAACACGGACCAAGGAGUCUAACAUCUAUGCGAGUGUUUGGGUGCCAAACCCAUACGCGUAAUGAAAGUGAACGGAGGUGAGAGCCCCUGAGGGCGCAUCAUCGACCGAUCCUGAUGUCUUCGGAUGGAUUUGAGUAAGAGCAUAGCUGUUGGGACCCGAAAGAUGGUGAACUAUGCCUGAAUAGGGUGAAGCCAGAGGAAACUCUGGUGGAGGCUCGCAGCGGUUCUGACGUGCAAAUCGAUCGUCAAAUUUGGGCAUAGGGGCGAAAGACUAAUCGAACCAUCAACGGCCGGUACUAGGUGGUUGAGAGGCGGCCGAGAGACCCGCCUAGUGGCGAUCGCACCGCAACACUGUCAAAUUGCGGGGACGUCCCGCUGAAGUACGGCUACCGCCGCCCUGCCGAAAGGCGAGGGUGCGCACCAGGGUAAUGACCUCGGGCAUGGUAACAACGCUGUACGGAGGGGCUACCCGCAGCCAAACCCUAUUACACGGGCGCAGUUCACAGACUAGAUGGCAGUGGGCGGGGGCCCGUCCCCGCUUAAGUUAUAGUCGGCCCCCCAGGCAACUGGGCCGGCCAGCGGAAGCCCGCAGGGGGCGAUCUUGCGGACGCAAGCCCUGCGGGCCCAGGCUGGCCGGGGGCGCCGAGCGCAGGCUCGCGCCCGGAGGAGUGCUAGUAGCUGGUUCCUGC